rnacentral:rRNA from 1 species
ACGGAGGUUCCUAGCGUUGUUCGGAAUUACUGGGCGUAAAGGGAGCGCAGGCGGACGGGUCAGUUUAAAGUGGAAUCCCAGGGCUCAACCCUGGACGUGCUUUGGAUACUGCCUGUCUUGAGUUCGUGAGAGGAAAGUGGAAUUCAGGGUGUAGCGGUGAAAUGCUUAGAUAUCCUGAGGAACACCAGUGGCGAAAGCGACUUUCUGGCACGAAACUGACGCUGAGGCUCGAAAGCAUGGGUAGCGAACG